rnacentral:lncRNA from 1 species
GGCGCGGCUACAUGGGGAAUGGGAGCUGUGUUACUACCUCCACCCUGGCCCGCCAGCGUCUGGACGAAGAACCGCCGCCAGACCAGUUUGUUAACAUCCCUGCAGUAACCAAAAACAUGAGCUGGAUAAGGAGGAGAAGAGGAGCUGGCCGAAUGAUUUUUAAGCAGAAGCUGAAUGUUCAAUAAGAAUAGAGUUGACACCUUCAGAGGAGAAGCAAAUACACUCAGAUGUCUGUGGAUCUAGAAAUGAGUGAAAAAUAUAGAUUCCAGCUGAGAGAUACACAAUUAUCAAAUUCCUUAAGAUAUACCAAUAUUUAAAUCUAUUUAUUAUAAAAUACAUGCUUAUCU